rnacentral:lncRNA from 1 species
UAUCAUCCUUGCCAAACCAUUUCUACCUCUCACACAAUGCCACGUGUUCACAUAUUGCACAUUAAAAAAUGCACAAUUUGUAUGCUUUUCUAAUUUGGCAGAAUCUACAAAUGAUGAGGGAUUCAAUAUAUUUCUUGAGUUCAACCUUGAGGACAAGGUUGAUUUUGAAGGGGUCGGUAAUGAUAGGAUAAUAAUUAUAAUGUUUGUUAUAAGAUUAAUUAGAAUGGGAAUAGGAUAAAAUAUUAUAGUUGAUUAUUUAGAUAGUAAUAUUACAUUAGUAUUUCUAGAAUGUUCCUUUCAUGUAAGAUGAUGACACUUGUAUGGUCAUCAUCAUAUUAGGUUUUCAUCCUUUCUCUUUAAAUAUGAUGUUGUUUAUGCAUAGUAGGAAUCAAUGAAAAAUGAAGUAUUUUCCCCUUUUAUUAUGUUCUUAGUUAAUCUUUCCUUAGGAGUAGAGUAAUUUUAUAGUUCUUGGUAGGUUGCAUAUUUUGUAACCUAUCAAUUGGUGCUUUCAUUCAUACUCAUCCUUCCAUAACAACAUGUAUUAUUCAUCUCAUACUUACAAUCAUCCACUAUCACCCACUUAUUAUAAUCAUCAUGACCAUACCUCACAACCAUUUCCAGAUUAUCAAACACAACAACCCCACCCUUAUUUUCUUUCAUUUCAACAAUGGCCAAUACCACAUCCACCCUCAAAGCCACCACCACCAGCAUCUUAUUCCACAUAUCCUCAUUUUCAUCAAACACCCUCACAACCACAAACAUAUUAUCCUCUUCACAAACAAACCUCACAAUCAC